GUCACACUGUACCUAUUCUUAAAUUGCAUCGUUUGCUUCUCCCAUUGUUACUUGCAUUUUAUGCAGACUCUUACUUGUGCCAGUUAGCUACAAAUUUGGGAUUAUAGUCAGUCCACUGCUCCUCCAGAUAAAUCUGAGGCAAAAUCUACUGCAUUAGCUCUAAUAGAGUCCUUUGCAAGCUUGACCUAACCUGGUCAGGAUCUGUUCUGAUUGAAUUGUAAAGCCUGUUAUGUCUCUUGCUGUACAUUUCUCUUGCUGCUAAAGUCUUCAUGUUUAGUCGGAUAUACUAAUUCUUCCAAGAUCCUGGCCAUCUCAGCCCUACCAUCGGUCUACCCUUUGAGGUGUUUGGGAUUUAACAAAAAUGAACUACUUCUCUUGCCCAUGGAUUACCGGCAUGACAAUAAGGCUCAUUAUUUUCAGAAGCUUGUAACUAUGCAGGAGAAUUUAUAUGUACUUCUGUGUGAUGAAGAAUUGGAUGCAGUCUCUUUGGAAGCUGUGCACCAACAAAAGAUGAAGAAUAGACAAGCCCACUCUUCAUCAGGAGAUCUCCCAACAACAACAACAACAACAACAAAAUGUUCCCAUGCUGUAAUUCGGACUGGUUGGUUUUUUUGGCCUACAGAUCAGAGCUGCCUGGAGAUUUUCCUUCAUCAUCUUCCAGCAACUUUAUAAAAUUGUAUAACAUGCAAAGCAAUUCCUACAUAUGCUAUAGUUUUUAUAAAAUAUGAAUUUGAAAUAUUUGUAUGUAUAUGUUAACAAUAUUCAAUAAGGAAACAAACAAAAAAAAAACCUGAUAAUAUUGUUUGUCUCCAGGAGUGGAAAGAAGAUUGAGGCAACUUUUCAACGGAAUUUUUUUGUACAUUUAAAUUUUGAACCACGUUAUUAUAUUCCCUGUUCAAAAAAUUUAAAUAGUAGGCUUUGUAAACAUAAUGAAAUUAAUAUUUUUAUGUAUUAUGAGAUAUUUACACAUCUGAGGCCUAGUGUGAUGACCAUCUAAUAAUUUAAUUAUAUAUACAUUUGCCAGCCAGCACACAUAUAAACAUCAAGCAUUUGAAUCCUUGUCCUGAAUUCUUUCAACAGCUCUCUAUUUUAAUAAUAUGUAACAAAGAAGGAGGACAACAGUAAGUUUCAGAAAUGAAAGAUGAUACCAUCUAUAGCUGAUGCCACAGAAAUCAAAAUGAUUAUAAGAGACUACUAUGAAAAACUAUACACCAAAAAAAUUGGAUGACCUCGAAGAAACAGAUAAAUUCCUAGAAGCAUACAACUUACUGAAUCAGGAAGAAAUAGAAAAUUUGCACAGACCUGUGAAGGGAUUAAAGAGAUUUAAUUUGUAUCAAAAAUCUCCCAACAAAGAAAAGCCCAGAACCAGAUGGCUUCACUGAAGAAUUCCACCAACAUUUAAAAAAACAAAUUAACACCCAUCCUUCUCAAACUCUUUCAAAAUAUUAAAGAAGAAACACUUCGGAACACAUUUAUGAGCCCAGCAUUGCUCUGAUUACCCUGAUAUAAAAGCCAAGCAAAGAUACUACUAGAAAAGGAAAUUACUCGCCAAUGUCCCUGUUUAAUACCGACACAAAAAUUCUCAAUGAAAUACUAGCAAACUGAAUAGGAUCAUAUGUCAUCAUCAAGUGUGAUUUCUCUGUGGGUUGCAAAAAUGAUUCAACAUAUGCAAAUCAAUAAAUAUGCCACACUAUAACAGAACAAAGGAUAAAAAAUCAAAUCAUCAUAUCAAUAUAUGAGACAAAAGCAUUCGACAACAUACAAGUACUUUUAUAAUAAAAACACUGAGUAAACUACAGAUAAAAGGAAAUGAUCUCAACACAAUAAAGCCCAUAUAUGGAAAGCCCACAGCUAACAGACUACUAGACAGUAAAAGACGGAAAGCUUUUCCUUUAAGAGAAGAAACAGACAUAUGUCCAGUCUUAAAACUUCUAUGAUACUAGAAAUAUUAGUUAUAACAGUUAGAUUAGAAAAAGAAAUAGAAGACCUUCAAAUCAAAAAGGAAGAAAUAAAAUAGUCUAUUCCCAGAUGACAUGGUCUCAAAUGUAUACAACCUUAAGGAUUCCACAGAAAAGGUUGAAACUGAUAAAAUGAAUUUUAAAAGUUGCAGAAUAUAAAAUCAACAUACAAAAUAAGUAGCAUUUCUAUAUACUAACAAUGCAUAAUCAAAAAAGGAAAUUAAGAAAACAAUCCCAAUUAAAAUAAAAAAAGCUUAAAAUGCUUAGGAAUAAGCUUAUCCAAGGAGGCAAAAGAUGUACACUAAAAGCUGUAAAACAUUUCUGAAGGAAAUUAUAGACGCAAAUAUAUGCAAAGACGUCUUAUGUUCACAGAUUGAAUAUUUCAUAUUUUAAAAUGUCUACCCUACCCAAAGCAAUCUGCAUAUUCAAUGCAAGCCCUAUUUAAAUCCCAAUUUUGCAGAAUAAAAAACCCAAAUCUAAAAUUAAAAUGGAACCACAAAAGACUCCACGUUGUCAAAACAAUGUUGAAGAAGAAGAAAAAUGCUGAAUGUCUCACACUUUCUGACUUCAAAAUAUAUUAUAAAGCUAAAGUAAUCAAGACAGUAUGGUAGAUCAAUGGAACAGAAUAGAUAUCCCAGAAUAAAAUCUAUGCAUAGGUGGACUACACAAUAGAGAAAGGAUCGGCUCUUCAACAAAUGUUAUUGGGAAAAAUGAUUAUUCACAUGCAAAAUAAUGAAAUCAAACCAUUAUCUUACGCCACACACAGAAAUUAACUUAAAAUGGAUUAAUGACUUAAACAGAGACUGGAAACUAUAAAACUCCUAGAAGAAAAUACAGAGAAAAAUGCUCAACAUAAGUAAUCGUCAGGGAAAUGCAAAUUAAAACACAAUGCGAUUUUAUCUCACACCUGUUAGAAUGGCUAUUAUAAAAAAGACAAAAUACAACAAAUGUUGGCAAGGAUACGAGAAAAGGAAACCUGUACAUCAUUUGUAGAAAUGUAAAUUAGUAUAGCCACUAUGGAAAACAGUGUGAAGUUUCCUCAGAAAACUAAAAAUAGAUCUACCACAUGACCCAGCAAUUGUACUUCUGGUUAUAUAUCCAAAAGAAAGAAAAUCAGUAUGUUAUAAAAUAUUUUCACUCCCAUGUUUAUUGAUGCAUUAUUAAAAAUAGCCAACAUAUGAAAUCAACCUAAGUGCCCAUCCACGAAUAAAUCCAUACAGAAAAUGUGGUAUAUAUACACAAUGGAAUACUAUUCUGCCUUAAAAAUGAAGGUAAUCCAGUCAUUCUGUGACAAUAUGGAUUAACCUGUAGAGCAUUAUGAUAAGUAAAAUAGGUCAGAUAUAUAGACAAAUACUGCAUGAUCCCACUUACAUGCAGAAUUUUUAACAGUUGAACUUACCAGAGCAGAGAAAAGAAUGGUGGUAACCAGGGCCUGAUGGGGAGCUGACGGGAAAGGGGAGAUGUUGGUUAAAGGGUACAAAGUUUCAGUUAGACAGGCAGGGUAAGUUCUGGAGACCUAUUGUACAGCAUGGUGGCUAUAGUUAAUAAUAAAGGAUUGCAUGUUUUUAAAUUACUAAGAGAGCGGAUUUUAAAUGUUUUCACCACAACAAAAACCAUGUGAGGCAUGAAUACAUUAAUUAGUUUGAUUUGCUCAUUUCACAAUGGGUAUAUAUAUCAAAUAUCAUCUACACAAUAAAUAUACAAUCUUUGUCAAUUAAAAAUAAAUUUAAAAAAUAAAGAUGUAUUUUAAAAUGAAGAUGUAUUUUAAAAUGCACAAUAAAUAUAAAAUUUUUGUCAAAUUAAAAAUAAAUUUAAAAAAUAAAGAUGUUUUUAAAAAUGUAGUGUAUUUUUAUGUGUGUAUAUAUGUGAAUAUGUGUGUGUAUAUGUGUGUAUAUAUGGCAUUUUAACCAUAUAUGUGUGUAUAUAUGUACAGAGCAAGUAUACAUAUAUGUACAUAGCAUAUAUACAUAGUACAUAUUUUUACACAACACACACAUACAAUAAAAUAUUCAGCCUUAAAAAAUAAGUAAAUCAUGUCAAUAAUACAUGGACAAAUCUUGAGGACAAAUACUUAUUUCACUAUGCUAAGUAAAAUAAGCCAGUCACAGAAGGACAUAUGCUGUAUGAUUCUACUUGUAUGAAGUGACUGAAGUAGUCAAAUUCAUAGACCCAGAAAGUAGACGUGCCAGGGGCUAAAUGGAAGGAGAAAUGGAAUAGCUGCUAUUCAAUGGGUAUACAGUUUCAAUCAUACAAGACAAAAACUUCUAGAGAUCUAGAACAUUGUAUAACAACAUACAUUUAGUUAAUGGUAGUGUACUGUACACUUAAAAUGUGUUUAAAAUUAUAUGUCAUUACGUGUAUUUUACCAAAAUUAAAAAGAAAACAACUAAAAACUUCUGUUCUCUAAAAGACAGUUAUAAGAAUAAAAUAGAAAGCCACAGAUUAAGAUACUUGUAAAUCAUAUGUCUGAUAAAAGAUUUGUAUUCAGAAAACAUAAAGAAGUCUGAAAACAAUAUAAAAACAAACAGCCUAUCCUAUAAAAAGGACAAAGAAUAUGAACCUUUUUUCAAAGAAGAUAUAAAGAUGGCAAAUAGCACCUGAAAAUACAUUCAAUGUCCUUAGUCAUUAAGGAAAUGCAAAUUGAAAUCCUAAGUAGAUAUCAAUAUACAUCCAUUAGAAUGGCUAACAUAAAAAAAAAAAAAAAAACCUGACAAUAACAGGUAAUAGUAAGGGUACAGAGUACCUGGAGUUCUCAUUCAUUGUGUGCAGGCAUGCAAAUGGCUCAACUUAAAAAAAACAGCUGGGCAGUUUCUUAUAAACAUACGUUUACUAUUAUUACCCAGCAAUCUCACUCCUAUGUAUUUACCCAAAAGAAAUAAAGUAGUCAUACAAAAACCCAUACAGGAAUGUUUAUAGCAACUUUCUUCAUAAUUGCUCCACAAUGGAAAUAAUCUAGAUGCACUUUAAUUGGUAAAUGGAUGAACACAUUGUACUAUAACCAUACAAUGAAAUACUACUCAACAGUAAAAUGUAAUUAACUGCUCAUACGAAAGCAAAUGUAAAUGAAUCUCAAUUGCAUUAUGCUGAAUGACAGAAGCCAGAUCCAAAAGGCAGAAUUAUCUUUAUUACCAAUUAAAUGACAUUCUGGAAAAAGCAAAAUUAUAAUGAUUACCAGUUUGCAAGAGUUUGAAGGUUGGGGGCAGGACUGACUCCAAAAAAACAGCAUGAGAAAAUUUUGGAAGGUGAUCAAACUGUUCUAUAUCUUGCUUGUUGUAGGGGUUAUAAGACUGUGCAUUUGUCAAAUUUCAUAGAACUGUACACCCAAAAAGAUAAAUAUUAGUAAACAUAAAUUUAAAGUAAUUUUUUUAAAUUAAAAAUCAUAGCAUAUGAAGAAAUGGAGCCUCUGUACAUCUGUUUUGUCUUCUUUUUUAUUUCACCUGCUCAAACACUGCAUCCCUCCAUACAAGCAUAAUCUGUAUAGUCACACAUGACUGUAUUUGUUACUUCAGUUUUUCAAUUCCAGUGACCUUUUAAUGUUUAUUUUUUCUUUCCAUGGGUCACCUGCUUUUCUUUUACAGAGUAGUAUAUUUGUUAUGAAUUAUUUUAUGUUAUUUCAUCCAAAGCUUCCCUCCACCUUCCAGGCCAAUCAACAUGCCUUUCCUGUGGACUCCCAUACAUCCCAUAUGCAUUUUCUUUGUGCUGUUCAUUUUAAUAAAUUACCAUUGCUUACUUUUGGGAAUACUCAUCAUACUAAAGCAAUUUAUUACCAAUGCCUUACCUAAUGUCUAAAAGAGAAAAGGCAUUUGAAAGAAAUAUUUCAAAUGAAGAAACAUAAAUAAAGAGUGUCAUUAUUAGAAGAAAUUAGAUAUAUACCAAAUUGCCAUUUUUGUCUUUAAAAAUUUCGUAAUAUAGGCAUAUUAUAUGUUAACAUUUCCUAACUCCUAAUUCUAUGGCCUACCUAUCUGAAACACAUUUCUUUUCUUUUCUUUUUUUUCUCUAAGGCAGAGAUCAGGAAAGUGUAUUAUCUACUCUAAGAUAAAUAGAUUAUUUUUGUGGCUUUGGAAUUGUCUAAUUCAGAGAUACACUUCUAAAUCCAAUCUAAAGUUUAACUCAAUGAAAUAUUUUCGAGAUUUUUGGAGUUCUACCACACAAUAAGGCUAGCACACAAAUAACUACUUCUGCAACUUUAAAUUACUUUAUGUAUUUAUUGAAAAACUUGGCAGGGUUCAUAGAUAAAUUUUCAAUCUUCAUUUUGUAUAUAUCUGACAAUACCCCCAGACUACAGAAUUUCAGCAGAAGAUAUUAGGUCCCCAUAUAUCUUGGUUGGAAGUGAUGUUUCUUAAUCACUUCUACUUUUUAAAACACCCGUACUAGGUAACUAAAGUUAUAAUCCAAGGACAACAUUAAAAAGAAGAUAGAAUGCUCUUCACUUCCCAAUGUGCUUGCAAAUUGAUCAGCAUAUUCAACUUGAACUUGAUGGCCAAGAAUCAUGACUUAGGCAUGUAUAAUUAGUUUAUAAUAACAGAAAUGAUAAUCUGUUUAAUAUCUCAACAUUUUGAUAGAUGAGUUUUUAAAAAUUGUGUUUAAGUAUUAUCUUCUAACACAGAUGUUUGUGUGUGUGUGUGUGUGUGUGUGUGCACAUUGGAUGGAAUGAGAGAUGUAUGCGGGGGUACGUCAUAAGACACUGGACUAUUCAACUUCAGUGAACAUUCAAAAAAAAUCAUUAUUUUAUUCUAAGAAAGUACUUGCUGAAAAUAAGGGUCAUUUGUGCUAAACAUAGUAGAGAGAUACCUAAAACUUAAUUUUUAUAGUUUAAUUUUGCUAAACAUUAUGCAUUCUUUAGUUUUAAUUCUGAAAAGAUAUUUCCUCUUUCUUGUGUCCAGUUGUACCAUCCUAAUGCUAAAAUCUGAAUAGAGAACACAUUUACCAGUCUUAUGUUUUAACAUUUUCAUAUAUUUGCUCUAUUAAAAACAAAUAUGCAAACAAGGCCUUGCCCUGCCCAGCCUUCCCUUCCCUUCCCUGUCUUGUCUGUCUGUCUGUCUUGUCUUGUCUUGUCUUGUCUUGUCUUUCCUUUCCUUUCCUUUCCUUUCUUUCCCUUUCCUCCCCUUCCCCUUCCCCUUCCUUUCCCUUCCCUUCCCUUCCCUUCCCUUCCCUUCCCUUCCCUUCCCUUCCC
rnacentral:lncRNA from 1 species